AACUUUGCGCAGUGGCAAUAUCGUAGCCAAUGAGGUUUAUCUGAGGCGCGAUUAUUGCUAAUUAAAAAUGGCUAAAAAUAAAAAAUAAAAAUAAAAAUGGCUAAGAUGGUUUUAUAUAUUUUACCACAAUUAAUAAGUAAAUUUUUAAAAUUUUUGCAUGCCUUGGAAUG
rnacentral:snRNA from 1 species